AUGCGAACGAGGUCCCGCCGGAACCUCGAGAUUCUGAUUUGCCACCUUGAAACGGUGGUGGCUCGUUUGGGCGGAAAAGGUGGUCUUGGCACUUCCCACACAUCGGCACCCACGCCGGCGCAAGUUUCUUCUUUGCUGGAGAAACUCGAUGCAGCUCAUGCGGGGAUCACUCAAGGACUUCGCCGCCUCGAGAAGGAAGGGCCACGCCUAGAGGGACACCUUGCCGACCUCGCCUCCAUCUGCAAUAGACAAAAGAAAUUGGCUAAAGAACAUCGGGUGCUUCCCGGCAAACAUCAAGAGCUUGCUGAGGAGUACAAGGCCCUCUGCGAGAAGUAA
rnacentral:rRNA from 1 species